rnacentral:siRNA from 1 species
AAAUCGUGCCCUAACGUAUUGAGU